UACGUAGGUGGCGAGCGUUGUCCGGAAUUACUGGGUGUAAAGGGCGUGUAGGCGGGAAGAUAAGUCAGAUGUGAAAUUCCAUGGCUCAACUGUGGCGCUGCAUCUGAAACUAUUUUUCUUGAGUGCUGGAGAGGAAAGCGGAAUUCCUAGUGUAGCGGUGAAAUGCGUAGAUAUUAGGAGGAACACCAGUGGCGAAGGCGGCUUUCUGGACAGUAACUGACGCUGAGGCGCGAAAGCGUGGGGAGCAAACAGG
rnacentral:rRNA from 1 species